CUGUUGUUCUUGGCUGAAAGGUGGCACACAAGAGAAUUUAUUCUCUGCUUGAUGCAUGCUGCCUGCAGUUAAGGCUGGGUAUAUAUUGAGACAAGAAUGUACCUGUUGGAUGCACUGCAGGAACUAUUUGCAGCUGAUUAAACAGCAGUCAUCAGGGGAAUCAUUUAAAAGGACCAUGCUCCCAGAACUCUUCUUCUAAGUGUCAAGAACAAAAUAAUUGAGGACAAGAGGAACAUCAGGCUGAAUAAACCGUGCCAGGAUGCCCACUGAUCCUAGCUGAUAUGAAACAAUAAGCCUCUAGCCCAAGUGACAGAGCUUCUGCCAAUCAAUGAAGUCUUGCAGCUGAAUAAGUGACUGUCGUGAAGCCAAUAUCUGUGAUGAACUUUAGCCUUCAGGGCCAUUGGAUGACAUGGAGGCCAGAAUAAAAACAGCACCUUUGGUUGUCGCCACCAUUUUCAUUUUCAUGUACUGGUCAAACUAACAUACUCCUCCUCUGCCCCUCAUAAUCUAGUAUACCAGGAAUACGGGAUAGCCCUUGCUACUCUGCUGAAGACCAGGACGCAGCCAUAUUCUACUGUAGCACAAAGACUAUAGGCAGAUGCCAGCAGUGAAGGACAGAAGAAAAUUAACUGGAUCAACUAUAAUGAAAUAAAUGAACAAACAUCUUUAAAACAUCUGUGCAAAUAGAAACAGGACUGAGACCACAGACUCACUUCACAUAAGCUAUGGAACAGCAAAUAGAUAGUAGUGACCUGGAACUAUUUGAGCUGAUAAUGUAGAACUAAUAACAAAUGCUCUAAGCCAACCAGUCACUCAUAGGUGGAAGCUGAAUACACUUGGGUCUUCCUGGAGAUUUCAAAUCUGGUGAAAACAAGUGAAAUGUGUUUAGAAGUCUCUCUUGUCUCACAAAUAUCUUUUACUAUCAAAAGCCAUCAUCCGAUUUGGCAUUAUCAUACAACAAACAAGCUGAAGGUAGAUGAAGAGCAGGAGUGUCGCACCUUUUGAAAACAGUGUGGUGGCACAGUUGUGUGUGUGUGUGUGUGUGUGUGCGUGCGCGCACACAAGACUACAAAAUUCCUGUUUAAGACUAUGACAACUUGUACCUACAACUAUCAUUCUCUCCCCUUGUAAAAAUUCGAUUCCAAUAUUUAGCUAGAAAUGUAGCUGAAUAACAAAAAAUCCACUAUUUUGCACUUGGAACGUACUCAAAAGUAAUAAAAAUGGUAGAAUCAUGAGAAAUAAAUAGAUACAGGAACUAAAUAAAAUUUAUAGGGAAGAUGUGACAUUUGGCAUUAAACAAUUGUCAACCCAAUAUUCUUUACUAUGGCUCCAGCAUUUUGCUGGCAUUAUGUCUAUAACACACAUUUGGACUUUCAUUUAGAGCGUACAAGCUACAAGCUUCAAAGUAUUUACAUGGAACUUUUAAUAGAGAUUACAAAUAUAAUUUCUUCAUGAAAAAACACUGUACUCCAAUAUACUGUAUAGCGCAUGCAUGAAAUUCUAAGAAAUACAGCAACCUAUUAUAUAGAUUCUCAACCUGUACAUCAUAACACCUGGGACAGAAGGAUGUUGUGACUAGCCUCCAUUUCUUUCUGGCUAAGUGGUGGGGAAAGGAUUGAAUCUUUUAUAAGAUGGGGUCAUAGGUAUGGAAAAUGUUGCAAAUGGAAUUGUUGGCCCUUAUUCAGUACACCAUGUAAGUGCCUACAGUUAUGCACAUGUUUAAGUGCUUUCCUGAACUGGGGCUCUGAGGAUGGUGGAUUUGCAACAAUAGUAGAGCCCAUUCUAGUGGUCAAGCAUUACAAAAAUUAGAUAGGUCUAAAUCCAGGACAGCAAAGUCUCAUUACCUGCCUGAAAGAUGAGAAUGGUCCCCAGGUGAUGGGGAAGAGAUUUGCCUGCAUAUGAUUCUCUGGUACUAAAAUGAAGUGAAUGUUCCUGCACUGACAGAAAAUGCACCCAGAGAAGGAAUAAAAAUACCUUGUGUUACAGAAAUGACAAUCACGUCUUUCCUUUCAUUUCUGAGAAACAUCAUUGGUAAUUCAUUCGUGCCUCCAGUGUUUGUAAGGGAUAAUAUUCUCCUGUUAGUGCAGAGAUGCUCAAUUAAGCAAUCAGCCAGGGCAGGGUGUAGUUAAUGAUAGCCCUAGGUUGCUCUGACGCAAUGGGAAUACUGGGGGUGAUUUAUUUUAGUUAUUUCUGAUUAAAGAUGAUGACAAUUACUUUUUACAUGCUGCAAUAGUUUCAGCUGAAUUUAGUUGUUGGCACGGUUCUGUUGUUACAUCCACUGCCCCGGGUGAUGUCAGCCCCCCUGGAGAUCCAGAGCUGGUUUCCCUGCCAGUGCAGCUAACUACUACUCCAACCACCCACCACCAGAGCCCCAGGUUAAAUCAAUCAUGAAAGGGAGAGGGCCCAAAGCACUUCAUAAGGAUGUCUUCACUGCAGAGUUAACUUGAACUAUAACAUAAGUAUUGCCCCUAGCUCAAGUCCUGUCCAUACACAAAAACCCUUAACUUGAGUGUGGUGGUGCUUUUAACUCAAGUUAAGGGGCCCAUAGGCUGGUACAGACUACAGGUUCACUUGCACAACUUGUCAGCUGCUAACACAAUCGCACUGUAGUUCAUGUGUUUCGCAGUGUGGCUGCUCUCACUCGAGGCAGCCUAACUUGAAAGGAGUUAACUUGAGUUAACUGCAGCAAAGACAGAACCUUAGAUGUUGCUUUUUGAUUAUCAUUAUUAUUAUUCAAGUAAUGUUACCCACAGUUUAAUUGUGGCAAAAUGCUUGCAUUUCUUUUGUGUGUAUUUUCUGCUGUGAAAGGUUCAUAAGCCAUCUUCCACUUCCUAGGGAAGGUAAUUGGAACAAUUGAGUAGAGAUAAUGACAUUUACCCCAUGGAAAAUUAUUGUGUGUAAAUUGUAGCUUGAAUAUCUCCUUAAGUGGAGGAUUAAUAGAUUGUAUGUUCAGAGAGGUGGUUUGAAUGUUUGUUUGUUAUAAAGACUCCAAAAUGGAGACAAGAGCAAAAUAAAAUCAUUAGCAUCUUUAAGGCAUCGGUCAGGUGCAGCAAGUGGGAGUAUUCUCCCAUGGGAACUCCCAAUUCUUUCCAUCUCUUCAGGAGGUUCUGCAGCCAGAAACUUAAUAAAAUAUAGCUUUAGUGGCCUUUAAAAAACAGAAAAAAGGUUUUAUUCCAUGUUAUGAACAUUUGUUCUUCAAGGAUGAAAUCCUGAUCCCACUCAAGUCAACAGAAGUUUGGACAUAGACUACAGUGUGGCCAAGAUUUCAUCCCGGAUCUCUAAGUUAGAGAUAAAUUUAGUAGAGCUACAGGGGAUUCUGUGGUUAAUGAACGUAGUGUAAUACGCAAUCCAAUGUUAAUUAUGUUCAGUAUUUUCCUACUAUAAUUCAGCCAGAAAUGAAGAUGUUCUAGGCGAUUUAGAAUUGACUGAAAGUGUAUGUCAUCCUACAUAUGAUGGCUGGCCAGUAGAGAUCUGGGGGAACAAUGAGGCUUAUUAAUUUUUUCUUAGAUCUGUGUUGCUGUUGGGGUUGUAUUGUCAGUGAGCAAUUGCCAGCCUCUGUUUAUCAUUAAUUGUACCUUUAAGAGUGUAAAGGGUUCUCUUUUACAUAUUUCUUAUAAACAUAAAUAAAAUAUAUACACAGAACAGAACAUUUUUGGUCUUUUGCACUGAUAAGGGACUUGAUCCUUCUCAUGUUGAAAUUAAUAGCAAACUCCCAACAUAUUCAAUGGGAUUUGAAUCAGGUCUCAAAGGCCCUACAUGGCCUAGAAUUUCUUAUAAUUGGAGCUCCAAUACAUAACUUCUUAAAGGUCUUGUUUUAUUAUUCAUUCCUGGAUUUAAGACUUUCAAAAGUUGGAAGAACGUGGUUGAUGUUUUUACUGCUAAACUGACAGUGGAUCAGCAAUGUGGCGGUCCUUAUAAAUAAUUACCACAUUUGAAUAUGAGUUUACAAUUAUAUCAACUUAAAGAGAUUAUAUAUGCAAACUCUCUUGAACAGUAAUGAAAGAUUAGCACCCAAACCCUCCAGCUGAGGCUGAAAUGAACACCGUAUGGAUCUGGGGGGUUGUUCAAAACUUGCUUAAGGCUCACCUUCAUACUCCUCUGAUCCUGCUCUGUUCAUCUGUCUGGACUGUGUUGAUCUAACUUACACUGGGGUGCAGUGGGAGCAGGGGCAACCUACAGUCUAGGAUUGGCAUAGCUCAGGGAUAUCCUGGUCACAUCCCUUUUCCAUUCUAUGCCAGCAGCAGGGAGGCAUAAUAAUGCAGGGGCCCCUAGAUUAUCUCUAAAUCACUAGAGGAUCGCCUUUACACUAGGAUGAUCCUCUCUGGGCUUGUUAAAUUGGCUUUAAAGGUCAGAUUAUGCCAAGCAAUGUGGCACAAAGCUGCCACACUGCAUGAAGAAAUCUGGCCCUGUAUCUGUACAUUACAAAAGGGACAGAUUUUAGAGUAAAAACAUAGAUAACAAUCCAUGAGGCCGUCAACACCGUACAGUCUGUUAAAUUCAGCCUGGAGUCUAUUUCCAAGCAAGUGUGGAUAUAAAAACCCUUUUUUAUCAUCAUUAUUGGUGGACCUUGUGACAGAGUUCUGAGGUCAGCAGGCAGGUCAGCACUCUGAUCACUGUAGACUCAAUUAGUGUCUUUCCUCCCCGCUCUCCCCCCCCCAUAAUCAGUGUCUGAUUAAAUAAUUAGCUAAUCAGAAGGAGAAGCUGGGGAGGUAAGGGACUAAUUAGCCCUCAGCUGACCAACCUGAUAAAAAACUCAGGAAGGAAGAGUUACAAGAGAGAGGAAGACAGGGCUAGCUGAGCCUGGAAUGAAGGAGCUCCCUAGAGAGGGAGACCUCCUUUUCUCCUAGGACCCAGGCAAAGAAAGGCUGAAAGAAGUAAAGUUAAAACUGUGAUGUUGCACUGUACUGGGGUUGGUGGACAGGCUUAGAAUAAAAUACAGCUCACACACAAGAAGAAAUCAAGUCUGAGCAGUUUUGGGGGCAUCAGAAGAUGGGGACAGCCUGGCUGUCCCAGUCCUGACUGGAAUCACUGCUAUAUUCUGAAUUGGGCUCAAACUUAUUACUUGUUAUAAUUUUUCACCAGAUAUGUUCAUAUUGCUUUUAUGAGGAAAUGUAUAUUAAAUAUAUUAUCCAUAACAACUGUACAAAUAAUUCUCAAUAGCUUGGUUCCUCUCACAUUUACAUUGUUACUUAUUUAAAUUCAUUUUAGGUCCCUUACACCACAAACUGAAGACAAACCUACUUAAACUAUUUAUGUUAUCAUUUGGGGCACUUAACUUAAAUAACAUGCAGAAAAGUUACAAUGCUCAUCCAGCAUAUACAGCGUGAACUAAGGCUAGAACACAAUCUACUGAGGAUGCACGAAAGAAAAUCAAAUUAGAAUGUUUGUGUCUUGUUACGUCUUAAUUUUUCUUAAAUGGUCACAUUU